rnacentral:rRNA from 1 species
AUUGAACGCUGGCGGCAGGCCUAACACAUGCAAGUCGAACGGUAACAGGAAGCAGCUUGCUGCUUCGCUGACGAGUGGCGGACGGGUGAGUAAUGUCUGGGAAACUGCCUGAUGGAGGGGGAUAACUACUGGAAACGGUAGCUAAUACCGCAUAACGUCGCAAGACCAAAGAGGGGGACCUUCGGGCCUCUUGCCAUCAGAUGUGCCCAGAUGGGAUUAGCUAGUUGGUGGGGUAACGGCUCACCAAGGCGACGAUCCCUAGCUGGUCUGAGAGGAUGACCAGCCACACUGGAACUGAGACACGGUCCAGACUCCUACGGGAGGCAGCAGUGGGGAAUAUUGCACAAUGGGCGCAAGCCUGAUGCAGCCAUGCCGCGUGUAAUGAAGAAGGCCUUCGGGUUGUAAAGUACUUUCAGCGGGGAGGAAGGUGUUGUGGUUAAUAACCGCAGCAAUUGACGUUACCCGCAGAAGAAGCACCGGCUAACUCCGUGCCAGCCGCAGC